UGGGGAAUAUUGGGCAAUGGAGGAAACUCUGACCCAGCAAUGCCGCGUGAAUGAAGAAGGUCUUCGGAUUGUAAAGUUCUUUAGUCAGGGAAGAAUAAAAUGACGGUACCUGAAGAAUAAGCUCCGGCUAACUACGUGCCAGCAGCCGCGGUAAUACGUAGGGAGCAAGCGUUGUUCGGAAUGACUGGGCGUAAAGGGUGCGUAGGCGGUUAUACAAGUUAGAAGUGAAAUACCCAGGGCUUAACUCGGGUGCUGCUUCUAAAACUGUAAGACUUGAGUGCAGUAGAGGUUAGUGGAAUUCCU
rnacentral:rRNA from 1 species